GCGCAGCCGCCGCCCUCAACCGCUCCCAGCAUCGGUUGCCGGUGGUUCGGGGCAGGGAGACGACGCAGCGCGAGCGGAAAGGGCGGUUACCCAACGGCCUUAGCUCUCAUGGCGUCCUCCGUGGUGUUACCUAAAAAUAAAGUUAUUUGUGAUUAGAAGGUAAUCGCCUCCUGGUCAUGCUUCCGCUGGUCACCAGUGUCUGCGGGGCGACCCCAUCCUUGUGGCCAGAGAGGGCCUGUGGCUGCGCUCAAGGCGGGAGCGGUCCUUAGCGGGGCCCUGCGGGACGCCCAGGCCGUGCUCCUUUCCCUUGCUCGCCUGGCCUUGAAGUGAAGGGGGAGGUUUAACAAUGCAGUGGGAACCCCAAAGUUUGUCUCGGCCGUGCUGCUCACAUUCCAAACAAUGCAAAAGGUUGAGGAAAACCUCAGCAGUUGAAACCGUGAUGCAUUUCAGCAAAGAAGUAGCUCCUGUCCUCGUAAAAUCAGUGAAGUUCUCACGGAUGACCUCAUUGAAAGUUUUCAUGGGCUGAGCUGCUGAGUUCAGCCUGGGAACUGAGGCCAACAUCGGAGUCUCCUCGGCACACAAGUUUGAAAGAAGUCCUAGUGACUUCAAGCUCAGAACCAUGGACGGCAGGGCUCCCUCUGGAUGUGGAAUUCUCCGUCCCUUUCCAGGGAGGGAACAAAGCCCACAAGCACCGCUGAAUUUUGGCAAUGGUGACCCUGCCUCAAUCAUGCAAAUGAGACGAAUGCCCUUGCAAAUGACAAAGGCCUAAGAUGGAAGGAGUUUGGAUCUGUGAAUCAUUACAUGGAGAAAAGCCACCUGCUGACCUAGAAACUUACUCUGGAUGAGAUGAGAAAUGAAUUUAUUGUUCUUUAAGAUGCUGACUUUUGGAGGUUUAUUUUUUCUAUCAACAUAGCCACCGUUAUUAACAUGGGGUGGGAGUCAGAGAGUGACACUAGAAACAGGACUAUUUUAAUAAACCAGACACUUUCACUCUCAUGGCUUCAACUAGGCAGAAUGUGACUGACCAACAGUGUGGCUCAUCCUUGUGAAGGAGAACAGAUGCCAAUUAACUUGACAUGACCAUAUCCAACCCAGGAAGUGGGUGGGAGGCUGGAGUACAGUGGCAUGAUCAUAGCUCACUGCAACUUAUACCUCCUGGGCUCAAGCAAUCCUCUUACCUCAGCCUCCUGAGUAGCUGGGACUAUAGUCUCCCUCUCUUGCCAAGCCUGGACUGUACUGCCAUGAUCUCAGCUCGCUGCAACCUCCCUGCCUCAGGUUCUGGUGAUUCUCCUGCCUCGGCCUGACAUUCCAGGCAUGCGCCGCCACUCCUGACUGGUUUUUGUAUUUUUGGUGGAGACGGGGUUUCACCGUGUUGACCGGGCUGAUCUCCAGCUCCUGGCCUCAGGUGAUCUGCCCACCUCGGCCUCCCGAGGUGCUGGGAUUGCAGACGGAGUCUCGCUCACUCAAUGCUCAAUGUUGCCCAGGCUGGAGUGCAGUGGCGUGAUCUCGGCUUGCUACAACCUCCACCUCCCAGCCGCCUGCCUUGGCCUCCCAAAGUGCUAAGAUUACAGCCUCUGCCCACCCGCCACCCCGUCUAGGAAGUGAGCAGCGUCUCUGCCUGGCCGCCCAUCAUCUAGGAUGUGAGGAGCACCUUUGCCCGGCCGCCCCAUCUGGGAAGUGAGGAGCGCCUCUGCCCGGCCACCCCGUCUGGGAGGUGAGGAGCAUCUCUGCCCGGCCACCCUGUAUGGGAGGUGAGGAGCGCCUCUGCCCGGCUGCCCAGUAUGGGAAGUGAGGAGCGCCCCUGCCCACCCGCCCAUCGUCUGGGAAGUGAGGAGCACCUCUGCCCGGCCGCCCCGUCUGGGAUGUGAGGAGCGCCUCUUCCCGGCUGCCACGCCAUCUGGGAAGUGAGGAAUGCCUCUGCCCGGCUGCCCCAUCUGGGAAGUGAGGAGCGCCUCUGCCCGGCCGCCACCGCAUCUGGGAAGUGGGGAGUGCCUCUGCCCGGCCGCCCCAUCUGGGAUGUGAGGAGCGCCUCUGCCUGGCCUCCCCAUCUGGGAGGUGGGGAGCGCCUCUGCCCGGCCGCCCCGUCUGGGAGGUGAGGAGCAUCUCUGCCCGGCUGCUCAUCAUCUGGGAUGUGAGGAACACCUCUGCCCAGCUGCCCCGUCUGGGAAGUGAGGAGCACCUCUGCCCAGCCGCCCUUCGUCUGGGAGGUGAGGAGCGUCUCUGCCCGGCCGCCCAUUGUCUGGGAUGUGAGGAGCACCUCUGCCCGGCUGCCCCAUCUGGGAAGUGAGGAGUGCCUCUGCCUGGCCGCCCCAUCUGGGAGGUGUACCCAACAGCUCCGAAGAGACAGCGACCAUCGAGAACGGGCCAUGAUGACGAUGGUGGUUUUGUUGAAAAAUAAAGGGGGAAAUGUGGGGAAAAGAAAGAGAGAUCAGAUUGUUACUGUGUCUGUGUAGAAAGAAGUAGACAUAGGAGACUCCAUUUUGUUCUGUACUAAGAAAAAUUCUUCUGCCUUGGGAUGCUGUUAAUCUAUAACCUUACCCCCAACCCCGUGCUCUCUGAAACAUGUGCUGUGUCAACUCAGGGUUAAAUGGAUUAAGGGUGGUGCAAGAUGUGCUUUGUUAAACAGAUGCUUGAAGGCAGCAUGCUCCUUAAGAGUCAUCACCACUCCCUAAUCUCAAGUACCCAGGGACACAAACACUGCAGAAGGCCGCAGGGACCUCUGCCUAGGAAAACCAGAGACCUUUGUUCACGUGUUUAUCUGCUGACCUUCUCUCCACUAUUAUCCUAUGACCCUGCCACAUCCCCCUUGCCGAGAAACACCCAAGAAUGAUCAAUAAAUACUAAAAAAAAAAAAAA